GCCCGAGUGGCGGAACAGGCAGACGCACAGGACUUAAAAUCCUGCGAGGGUUAUACCUCGUACCGGUUCGACCCCGGUCUCGGGCA
rnacentral:tRNA from 1 species